GGGUUCGAUUAUGGCUCAGAUUGAACGCUGGCGGGAUGCUUUACACAUGCAGUCGAACGCAAGGCACGGACUUCGGUUCAAGGGUGAGUGGCGAACGGGUGAGUAAUGUAUCGGAACGUGCCUGGUAGCGGGGGAUAACUUUAGCGCGAAAGCGUAGCUAAUACCGCAUACGCUGCCCUUCGGGGAAAGCGGGGGAUCUUCAGCCUCGCACUAUUAGAGCGGCCGAUAUCGGAUUAGCUAGUUGGUGGGGUAACGGCUCACCAAGGCGACGAUCCGUAGCUGGUUUGAGGACGACCAGCCACACUGGGACCGAGACAUGGCCCAGACUCCUACGGGAGGCAGUGGGGAAUUUUGGACAGCCGGGGUAGAAACCCUGAUCCAACAUCCUGCGUGCGAUGGUAUGCCUCAUGGGUUGUGCUACUUUUGGCAGGAAGAAACGGCACGGGAUAAUACCCGUGCAACUGACGGUACCUGCACACACCGGCUAACUACGUGCCAGCAGCCGCGGUAAUACGUAGGGUGCAAGCGUUAAUCGGAAUUACUGGGCGCAAGCGUGCGCAGGCGGUUCGGAAAAGAAAGAUGUGAAAUCCCAGAGCUUAACUUUGGAACUGCAUUUUUAACUACCGAGCUAGAGUGCGUCAGAGGGAGGUGGAAUUCCGCGCAGUGAAGCGGUGAGAUAUGCGGAGGAACACCGAUGGCGAAGGCAGCCUCCCAAGAUAACACUGACGCUCAUGCACGAAAGCGUGGGAGCAAACAGAUUAGAUACCAGAACCACGCCCUAAAACGAUAUGUCAAUCAAUGUUGGGGCCUUCGGGCCUGUAGCGCAGCUAACGCGUGAAGUUGACCGCCUGGGGAGUACGGUCGCAAGAUUAAAACUCAAAGGAAUUGACGGGGAUCCGCACAAGCGGUGGAUGAUGUGGACUAAUUCGAUGCAAUCGCGAAAACCCUACAUUCUACCCUGAUGAUGUGUCUGGAAUCCCUUAAAGAGAUUUGGGAGGCCGCAGAGAACCCGAACACAGGUGCUGCAUGGCUGUCGUCAGUCGUGUCGUGAGAUGGGUUAAGUCCCGCAACGAAAGCAACCCCGUCACAUGUUGCCGAAAGGGCACUCUGACGAGACUGCCGGUGACAAACCGAGGAAGGCAGAUGACGUCAAGUCCUCAUGGCCCUUAUGGGUAGGGCUUCACACGUCAUACAAUGGUCGGGACAGAGGUCGCCAACCCGCGAGGGGGAGCCAAUCCCAGAAACCCGAUCGUAGUCCGAUCGCAGUCUGCAACCUGACUGUAGCUUUUCUGAAUCGCUAGGUAAUCGCGGAUCAGCAUGUCGCGUAAUUACGUCUUGGCCUUGCACACGCACCGCCCGCCGCCACCAUGGGAUGGUCGCACUGUAAGAAGUUGGGCUCAACGUAAAGGAGGCGAUUACCACGGUAGGAUUCAUGACUGUAUGGUCGUAACAAGGCAA
rnacentral:rRNA from 1 species